UACGUAGGAUGCAAGCGUUGUCCGGAUUUAUUGGGAUUAAAGGGUGCGUAGGCGGCCUAUUAAGUUAGUGGUGAAAACGUUCGGCUUAACCGGAUACCCGCCGUUGAUACUGAUAGACUUGAGUGCGACAGAGUGUGUUGGAAUGUGUGGUGUAGCGGUGAAAUGCUUAGAUAUCACGCAGAACACCAAUUGCGAAGGCAGAUGCCUAUGUCGUAACUGACGCUGAGGCACGAAAGCGUGGGGAGCAAACAGG
rnacentral:rRNA from 1 species